GGUUUUAUAAUCCAUAAUUACAGUUAACUACUAGUCCAUAAAAAAUUUAACUACUAGUUAAGUAACUAACCGAAUUCAUUACCAUAAGUCGACUUAUUUCUUCUGUUCAAACGGUAGAUGUCACGCUGGUGACUGCUCUUGCAGCAAUGGGAACAAUAACUGUUGGUGCUGUUGUUAAAAAUUAUUUAUCAUGGAAAACAAAGCAAAAGAAAGACACCAGUUCGCUUGGAAGAUCCAACAGCCAAGAAUCAAUUGCCUUUAAUUGAAAAAGAGAUAUUAGUUCAUAUACAAGAAGAUUUAGAUUUGGUUUACGAACACCAGAACAUGUAUCUGGUUUACCACUUGGUCAGCAUGUUCAUUUGAUAGCCACAACUAAUGAUGAAAUUGUUAUCCGACCAUAUACAUUAUAUUUUUAAUCCUUAAAAUGUGAUUAAAUUAGUAAAAUAAAUAAUUUGUUUAAACAGGAUACGACAAGAUCAACAACAGUUAGUCCAAGUAUAAUAAUUGACAAAUGCAAAGAAGACACACUACCAUCAGUACCAAGAAAAUGCACAUGAACUUUGACAUAAUCUUCUUGAGGGUAUAAAACGUGCAUAUUUAAAUGAAGCAAGUUAACUUGAUAGAAACAACACCGAUUAAUCAAAUAUUUGGUGGUUACAUAGAUUUACUUUUUGAUAUUAUAAAAGCAAGUACACUUGAUGAAGCAUCAUAAAAUUAUUUUAGUCGUCAACAACUUGAUAAUAAUGAUUAUAAAUAAGGAUUCUGUCAAAGAUGUGUACCACUAACCAAAAAAUUUAGUUUAUAACAAACACCCAAAGUUUUAUGUGUGCAAGUAACAUGUUUUGUACUUGGUGGUAACAUAUCAUGUUGUAUUGAAUUUAAACAAACAAUUAAUAUGGGACAAUAUUUAUAGCGUGAAAAUAAUGAAAAAACACUUAAAUUAAAUUAUAAAUUAAUGUCAAUUGUAGCACAUGGGACUAUCUCUUAAUUGUGGUCAUUAUAUUGCUGCUGCACAAGUAAAAGCUAGACAAUAUUAUACAUUUGAUGAUUUAUCAGUACGCUCAAUUAAUUUUUCAAAUAUGAACACAAAUCCAUAUACCUAUUAUAAUAUAUUUGAAAUAGAAAAAUCAUCACAUGAU